rnacentral:rRNA from 1 species
UACGUAGGGUGCAAGCGUUGUCCGGAAUUAUUGGGCGUAAAGAGCUCGUAGGCGGUCUGUCGCGUCGGCUGUGAAAACCCGGGGCUCAACUCCGGGCCUGCAGUCGAUACGGGCAGACUAGAGUUCGGUAGGGGAGACUGGAAUUCCUGGUGUAGCGGUGAAAUGCGCAGAUAUCAGGAGGAACACCGGUGGCGAAGGCGGGUCUCUGGGCCGUAACUGACGCUGAGGAGCGAAAGCGUGGGGAGCGAACAGG